rnacentral:rRNA from 1 species
UAACGACUCUCGGCAACGGAUAUCUCGGCUCACGCAUCGAUGAAGAACGUAGCAAAAUGCGAUACUUGGUGUGAAUUGCAGAAUCCCGUGAACCAUCGAGUUUUUGAACGCAAGUUGCGCCCGAAGCCUUCUGGUUGAGGGCACGUCUGCCUGGGCGUCACGC